ACUCAGCAGAGACCAGACCUGCCCCUCAUCUUCCAGCUCAGCGUCUGGUGUGUUUUCACAGCACCUCAGCAGGACAACAAAAGACUGAGACUGCCAGCACCAAGGUCAUCACAGAGCACAGAGCUGAGCUCCCUGUGCAGGACAGCAGCUUCCCACAUGGUGGACACCUGAACAUUUGCCCGAGAUCCUGAAGGAAAAGAGAGAUCAUGAAAGGACAAAGCAAACUUCAUCACCAGCUCCUUUAUGAUGGUCUCUGGUGGUAGACAUGACAACAUGGAGAACGUGCCUACAUCAGACGGUCCCCAGAGCCCAGAACCCCAGCAGGAGGACCACAACCACAGCCAGGGGC
ensembl:lncRNA